ACUGCUCAGUAACACGUCGAUAAUCCGCCCUUAAGUCAGGGAUAACCUCGGGAAACUGAGGAUAAGACCUGAUAGGGGAUGAUAUCUGGAAUGAUAUAUCCCAAAAUUUCGAGCUUAAGGAUGAGUCGGCGGCGGAUUAGGUAGUUGGCGGGGUAACUGCCCACCAAGCCAAUGAUCCGUAAGGGCUUUUAGCGAAGGGGCCCUGAGAAGGAAUCUGAGACACUAUUCCUAGCCCUACGGGGUGCAGCAGUUAGGGAAAUUCUCCAAUGCGCGCAAGCGUGAGAGAGUAAGCCAGAGUGUUUUUGGAAUUUUUCCAAAAACUUUUGCUUGUCGUAAAAAUACAGGCGAAUAAGGAGUGGGCAAGAUCGGUGCCAGCCGCCGCGGUAAUCCCGACGCUCCAAGUCGCAACCACAUUUAUUGGGUCUAAAACAUUCGUAGCUUGUUUUAUAAGUUCUUCGUGAAAUCUUGACUCUUAAGGUUAAGGCGUGCGAAGAAUACUAUAGAACUUGGGACCGGUAGAAGUAAGAAGUAUGGCCGAGGUAGUGAUAAAAUACGUUAAUCUUGGCCAGACUAACAACAGCGAAGGCAUCUUACUAGCACGGAUCUGACAGUGAGGAAUGUAGGCUAGGGACGCAAAAGGGAUUAGAUACCCCUGUAGUCCUAGCAGUAAACACUGCUCACUAAACAUUAGUGCCUCCUCGAGAGGCAUUAGUGCUGUAGCGAAGGCGAAGAGUGAGCUACCUGGGAAGUAUAGUCGCAAGACCGAAACUUAAAGGAAUUGGCGGGGGAGCAC
rnacentral:rRNA from 1 species